GACGAACGCUGGCGGCGUGCUUAACACAUGCGAGUCGAACGGAAAGGCCCUGCUUUUGUGGGGUGCUCGAGUGGCGAACGGGUGAGUAACACGUGAGUAACCUGCCCUUGACUUUGGGAUAACUUCAGGAAACUGGGGCUAAUACCGGAUAGGAGCUCCUGCUGCUUGGUGGGGGUUGGAAAGUUUCGGCGGUUGGGGAUGGACUCGCGGCUUAUCAGCUUGUUGGUGGGGUAGUGGCUUACCAAGGCUUUGACGGGUAGCCGGCCUGAGAGGGUGACCGGCCACAUUGGGACUGAGAUACGGGCCAGACUCCUACGGGAGGCAGCAGUGGGGAAUAUUGCACAAUGGGCGGAAGCCUGAUGCAGCAACGCCGCGUGCGGGAUGACGGCCUUCGGGUUGUAAACCGCUUUCGCCUGUGACGAAGCGUGAGUGACGGUAAUGGGUAAAGAAGCACCGGCUAACUACGUG
rnacentral:rRNA from 1 species